rnacentral:lncRNA from 1 species
GUGCUUUUAAUGUAGGACUUGUUGAAUAUUCUCCAGAUUGACAACUACAAAGCCACCGAGUAGGAAAUGUCUCAGGAUUCCCAUCAUCCAUUUUUUGGAGGAGAAUUUAUCCUCUGCCUUUCUUGGAAGCCUCCUCCAGCCCCAAAUGUGCCAUUGCUCUGGGAUUUUGCACACCACCAAGUGGAUACUGGGAGGAGCCAGGUUUGAGCCAUCUCCAGAGGCUGCCUGUUAAAGUGAAUGGCCCCCAGCAAGCAGAAGGAGACUGUGGGUCAUCACUAGAGGACAGAACCUGAGGAGGCUGUGCCUCCUAAUCCUGGACAACAGAACAUUGCUGGACAACCAUGGCAAAGCUGAGCUCAGUGGGCUCACCAUGGAUUUACUCUGAUCUGCAUUACUUAGAUCAUUAAUGUCAAUCCCUUUUUUCCCAGUAGCUUUAUGUCUGUUCACAUCAUUUCAUUCUCAAUUGCACUAGCUCUGUGCUUUUACCCUUAGCUGUUAUCCUCACCCUCUAUCUAAACAAGAGCUCCUUUGAUUUCCUUCCUCCUCACUUUAAAAUUUUCUUUUGCCUUUGAUCGUUCUCUUAUUUUUCUCAUCCUGUCUCAGGAAUGCUCUUUCUUCCCAAGGCUAUGCCUUCCUCUCUGUAUGGAUCCUGUCCCCUCCUGGCUUUCCAGGACUACUGCAUGAAUUACCUUCUAUUUUCUUGCAUCUUCAGUGUCACCCUUUUCAUGAGCUCUGCAACAGUCCUAUUGCCCAAGCUCUAGAAAAUCCCCCUCUUAAAUUAUUGUAUUUCUAGCCUUUCAUUUACUAUCUCAUUUCUCAAAAGUGCAAUAAACAUGUAAUUUCCCUUUUUCUACUCUUUUGGUUUGAGGCAUAUUAUCCUUCUAUUUCUCACACCUAAGGCCUCAAAUUCCACCUGUAAGGGGGUGAGCUUGCACUUAGGUUCUAGGCUAAAUCUAGUCACAAGAAAGCAACUAGUGCAGUUAGAUUCACAGUUUAGAGUGUCUGUGGAAAUGCUUCACCUUGGGAUGGGAUUCUGCCUGCAUUACUGUUACUUAAGCAUACUGAUGCCACCUGGAUAUUCACCUGCUUCAGCUUCUGCCUGUUGACCCCUUGCACACUACUUUCUCCCCCUCUCAUGUUUGGAAGAAUCAACCUCAAAAUGUUAACUUCAUUAUUGAUAAAGCCAACUGGGGAACAUGUCUUUAGAUGUUUGGUCAAAAGCCUUGCUGAGUUGAAUUUUCUCCUACAACAGCAGCCCAGAAUGCACUCUCUCUGCACUUGGUUUGCAGGCUGGCUUAUGGAGAGUCAGGGGUUAAGUGUUCUUCCAACUUUGCAAAAGAUAAAUCAGUCAUCUACUAGGAAAAGAGGAAAAUCAGAGAUAAGCUGAAAGCAUUCCUCUCAUAAUUUUCCAUUCCUGGGGAGUAGAUUUGACAUUUUCUUCCCUUAAUGGAAACAUGAGUCAUGAGGAAUAAAUGCUCCCUGCUAUCAGUCCUCUCUCUCCCUUCUAGGGCUUCUCCUGGUUCCUGUUCGGCCCCCAGAAAGCUUGUCUAAUCUUGGCUAGCCUGAUCCAGCCUCCACCAGCCCCGAUGCUGCUGGUAUACACUUGCUCCUUAACCACACAUACUGUGGUUUCUGCUUUAACAAUCAGCCAUAGGAUUUUAAUUACCCAAUCUAGCCACACGUUCUCAGUCCUUUUCUUCUCUAACUUCUCAGCUCAAAAAUUUUGAAUACAUCCCAUUUGAUUGUGGACAAAGAGGCAAUGAUCAUGGGGUAAUGCACUAUGUUUUUGUACACUAAGUUUCUUUUGUAAAUACCAUUGUUUCUGGCCAGGCGUGGUGGCUCACACCUGUAAUC